rnacentral:rRNA from 1 species
AAKGAAAGAGUUGACGUGAAAUAAMCUKUUUAAAUUUAAAAUUAAAUUGACAUCAAAAUAAAAAGGUUUUGAUAAGAUAGAAAGACGAUAAGACCCUAUGAAAUUUUAUUUUUAAAAUAAAAUUAGAUAAGACCCAGAUUUUAUUUAAAAAUUUAACUGGGGCGGUAAAUAUAAUAUAUCUAUUUUAUAUAGAAGACUAAAAUGUUAAUUUUUAAACCACUAAUAUGUAAAAUUGAACAAAUUACUCUAGGGAUAACAGCACUAUUUCUCUAGAUAGAACAUAUAGACAGAGGAGUUUGUGACCUCGAUGUUGAAUUGAAAAUACUUAUUAGAGCAAAAAUUAAUAAUGUUAGUCUGUUCGACUAUUAAAUUUUC